AUGGGAAGCAAACGUCAAUGCAAGAUGUUGAAACCUCACUUGAAUACAAUAGAAGAUGAUCAAGCACCAAAUGAAAUUCAGAAGAAUGAUGAUUUGUCUACUGAUAUUCAGGUUAAAGGGGGGAAGAAAGUCUCAUCUAAAGACAUUGAUCGUAGAUCCAAUACUAAGAAGGUCAAUGGGAUUUUUCGACCAAAGAAGAUGAAGAAAUACAGAUCUCUUGCUGAUAUUUACAAGUUGACAAAACCCAUUGAUAUUGAAAAUUAA